GGCAACCCACCCCUGAUUGGACAGUCUCAUCAAGAAGGUUGGUCAAGAGCUCAAGUGUUUCUGAGAAUCUGGGUGAUUUAUAAGAAACCCUUAGCUGAAUGCAGGGUGGGGAGAACGAAAGACAAAAGCAUCUUUUUUCAGAAGGGAAACUGAAAGAAAGAGGGGAAGAGUAUUAAAGACCAUUUCUGGCUGGGCAGGGCACUCUCAGCAGCUCAACUGCCCAGCGUGACCAGUGGCCACCUCUGCAGUGUCUUCCACAACCUGGAGUGUAGUAUUUGUUAAACAGGUGAAUCUACUUCUCUUAACAAAGUCUCAAUGUCCUAUUUGCAAUUUAUGUGGUAAACACUGAAGACAAUGGUCCUUAACCUUUUGGCAUCUCAGCCUCCUUUCGAAAGGUUUUACAGCAAGUUAAAAUGAAGCUGGAGUUCAGCCAAUCUUUGGAAUCCUGAGAAACACAAGAAAUUUAAUAACAGCACUCGUAACGUAGUUACAUCUUGCUUUACAGUUUACAAAGUGCUACCAUGCCUUUUUUUUCUCAUUUUGU
rnacentral:sRNA from 1 species